AGCCAGACUCUAGCCCAAUCACCACGACAUCUACUUAAAAAUUCACUCAACCUUUAAACUAAAACAUUCUUCUAGCUUAGUAUAGGCGAUAGAAAAGAUCACUAGGCGCGAUAGAGAUUUGUACCGUAAGGGAAAGAUGAAAUAACAGUGAACAGACUAAGCACUAAAUAGCAAAGAUAAGCCCUUGUACCUUUUGCAUUAUGAUUUAGCAAGAAUAACCAAGCAUAGCGGACUUAAGCUUGCCACCCCGAAACCCAAGCGAGCUACUUACAAGCAGCUACCCUUGAGCGAACCCGUCUCUGUUGCAAAAGAGUGGGAAGACUUGUUAGUAGAGGUGAAAAGCCAACCGAGCUGGGUGAUAGCUGGUUACCUGUGAAACGAAUCUAAGUUCAACCUUGACACCCCCUCCAAAGACCCCUAACCACUAUAAUGAAGCAGUCAAGAGUAAUUUAAAGGAGGUACAGCUCCUUUAAAAAAGAAUACAACCUUCUCUAGCGGAUAAUUCCCAAUUAAAUAAAAUACCUGUGGGCCCUCAAGCAGCCAUCAACAGAGAAUGCGUCAAAGCUCUAUCUAUUAAAAAUCCUAAGACCACAUGACUCCCUUCCCACCAACAGGUCAACCUAUAAUAAUAGGAGAAUUAAUACUAAAAUGAGUAACUAGGACAUGCUCCUCUUAAGCGCAAGCUUACAUUUCCCUCAAUUAUUAACAGUCAACUAAUAUAUCAACCCUAACAAGACUACCUAUUCUAUCUACUGUUAAUCCAACCCAGGAGCGCUCACUAGAAAGAUCAAAAUCUGUAAAAGGAACUAGGCAAACCUUAAGGCCCGACUGUUUACCAAAAACAUAGCCUUCAGCCAACCAAGUAUUGAAGGUGAUGCCUGCCCAGUGACCAUAUGUUCAACGGCCGCGGUAUCCUAACCGUGCGAAGGUAGCGCAAUCAAUUGUCCCAUAAAUCGAGACUUGUAUGAACGGCUAAACGAGGUCUUAACUGUCUCUUACAGAUAGUCAGUGAAAUUGAUCUCCCUGUGCAAAAGCAGGGAUAAACACAUAAGACGAGAAGACCCUGUGGAACUUAAAAACCAGCAACCACUCCCUAACAAAAUUAAACCUACCAGGUCUACCACCAAAAACAUACUGGCUUGCAUUUUUCGGUUGGGGCGACCUUGGAGAAAAACAAAUCCUCCAAAAAUAAGACCACCCCUCUUGACUAAGAACAACCCCUCAAUGUACUAACAGUAACCAGACCCAAUAUAAUUGAAUAAUGGACCAAGCUACCCCAGGGAUAACAGCGCAAUCUCCUCCAAGAGCCCUUAUCGACGAGGAGGUUUACGACCUCGAUGUUGGAUCAGGACAUCCUAAUGGUGCAGCCGCUAUUAAGGGUUCGUUUGUUCAACGAUUAAUAGUCCUACGUGAUCUGAGUUCAGACCGGAGCAAUCCAGGUCGGUUUCUAUCUAUGGUGAACUUUUCCUAGUACGAAAGGACCGGAAAAGUGGGGCCAAUGUUUCAACGUAUGCCCUCUCUCUAAGUAAUGAAUACAUCUAAAUUAUCAAGAGACUCCCUAAGUACACCUUAUUCCUAGAAAAGGACC
rnacentral:rRNA from 1 species